GUUUUGUGCCUCAUAUCUCUUUCAAAAAUUAGGGAAUAAUUUUUUUGGAUUUUCCGAGUUUGUUGUUUCCGGCAAAAAUAUAGGCAUGGGGGGUUCUAAGUGAGCCAGGCUUCGUUCCAUAUUUCGGACUUCGAUCGACCGAGAGAUUAGCUCAGUUGCUAGCUGAUAAUAGCACAAGAGAUUAUGAUUUUUUUUACGAAGAGUACUUCCUCGCAUGAUGGCAAGAGUGUUGACCGGGAACAAGAACGUAAGUUCAACGAGCUUAAAGCUUCUGACACAGUGAAAGCACCUGCACGAAUCAUUGGUUCUCAGGCGACUAAGAAAAAGGGAGCUACAUUUGUUCUGAUUUAAGGAAUUGGAUAAGAACAGACUUGGGAGGUAAUUAGGGUGGCAGAACUUUUGGAACAGCAGGAUAUAUUAUUCAAAUGAGAAAAAUGCUAUAAUCCGUCAAAGGCUCAUAUUCUUCGAUUGAUUGAAAAAUAUAGUAAUCGUACAAGCAUAUGUAAGUUUAAUAUUCCGAUGCAUGUGAAAAAUUAGUAGACAAACAAAUACAUUGUUGAGUUACGGGCUUGAUUCUGCCAACAUAUUAUGUAUGAUCUUUUUUGGUAUUA